GAUGAACGCUGGCGGCGUGCCUAAUACAUGCAAGUCGAGCGAACAGACGAGGAGCUUGCUCCUCUGACGUUAGCGGCGGACGGGUGAGUAACACGUGGAUAACCUACCUAUAAGACUGGGAUAACUUCGGGAAACCGGAGCUAAUACCGGAUAAUAUAUUGAACCGCAUGGUUCAAUAGUGAAAGACGGUUUUGCUGUCACUUAUAGAUGGAUCCGCGCCGCAUUAGCUAGUUGGUAAGGUAACGGCUUACCAAGGCAACGAUGCGUAGCCGACCUGAGAGGGUGAUCGGCCACACUGGAACUGAGACACGGUCCAGACUCCUACGGGAGGCAGCAGUAGGGAAUCUUCCGCAAUGGGCGAAAGCCUGACGGAGCAACGCCGCGUGAGUGAUGAAGGUCUUCGGAUCGUAAAACUCUGUUAUUAGGGAAGAACAAAUGUGUAAGUAACUAUGCACGUCUUGACGGUACCGAAUCAGAAAGCAACGGCUAACUACGUG
rnacentral:rRNA from 1 species